CAAAAUGUAGCCUGCUUGUUUCAUUUGGAAGAGUUCUCCUGUUAUGGCUAGCUCUGUUUGCUAUGCUUCAGAAGAAAGUAACAGAAAGACUAACUGCUGCUAUACAGACCAUUGUCUCCUAUGCAGUUCAUCUGCCACUUCAAAUAAUAACCCAUUUAUCAAGAGAUAAUGCCAUCCACUAUUGCAACAGCAGAACUAAAGAAGUGCUUCCUAAGAACCCAGCAAGAGAAGCAGUAGUGACACUAGACAGAUCUAAAACUAUCCAAGGGACCUCUUCAUAUUACUGCUGUUUGAAAGUCAGUGGAUCACAGUGCCUAACUACUACUAGAACAGAAUUAGUGGACAGCAGACUUCAAAUGCUUGAUGUUUACCUAUUGCCAAUACCUCAGUUAAAUUCAGAACUGCCUAUA